UACGUAGGGUGCAAGCGUUGUCCGGAAUUAUUGGGCGUAAAGAGCUCGUAGGCGGUUUGUCGCGUCUGCUGUGAAAACCCGAGGCUCAACCUCGGGCCUGCAGUGGGUACGGGCAGACUAGAGUGCGGUAGGGGGAGAUUGGAAUUCCUGGUGUAGCGGUGGAAUGCGCAGAUAUCAGGAGGAACACCAAGUGGCGAAGGGCAGAUCUCUGGGCCGUAACUGACGCUGAGGAGCGAAAGCAUGGGGAGCGAACAGG
rnacentral:rRNA from 1 species